ACGAACGCUGGCGGCGUGCCUAAUACAUGCAAGUUGAGCGAUGAAGAUUGGUGCUUGCACCAAUUUGAAGAGCAGCGAACGGGUGAGUAACGCGUGGGGAAUCUGCCUUUGAGCGGGGGACAACAUUUGGAAACGAAUGCUAAUACCGCAUAACAACUUUAAACAUAAGUUUUAAGUUUGAAAGAUGCAAUUGCAUCACUCAAAGAUGAUCCCGCGUUGUAUUAGCUAGUUGGUGAGGUAAAGGCUCACCAAGGCGAUGAUACAUAGCCGACCUGAGAGGGUGAUCGGCCACAUUGGGACUGAGACACGGCCCAAACUCCUACGGGAGGCAGCAGUAGGGAAUCUUCGGAAAUGGACGAAAGUCUGACCGAGCAACGCCGCGUGAGUGAAGAAGGUUUUCGGAUCGUAAAACUCUGUUGGUAGAGAAGAACGUUGGUGAGAGUGGAAAGCUCAUCAAGUGACGGUAACUACCCAGAAAGGGACGGCUAACUACGUG
rnacentral:rRNA from 1 species